rnacentral:lncRNA from 1 species
GUACCACAGUAAGUCCUGACCAAAAUGCAGGGAGAACUGAUUCUUUUUAUUAGAUUAUUGUAACAAACCAGGUCCUACUACCAUAGAAGUUUCAGUAACUGUUAAGUAAAACACUCAGUUUUUGUAGAAGUCUUAAGUUCAUCUAAUCUAAUGAAUGGAUUGUUAAUCAAACUUUUGAAGAGGUACCAUUUCAACCUUAAACUUUUAAUGAUUAUUUUAUUAAUUCAUUAACUUCAAAAAUCCAUAUUACCUUUCAAAUAGUUUUAUAAUUAACGCAGGCAAAUGCCCAAGAAAAUACACUAAUCUUAUUCAACAUCUUCAAAUCUUCAAAUGUUGUCCUGAGAUCUAAGAGUAGGACAUUCAAACCAUAGAUCCUAAAAUUAUCAGAUCAGUUCUUUGAUGCUGGAACAUGUUGACCUUAAGAGACAUUGUAGUGAAUUGAGAGUAGGGGGAGAAAAUGUUUGGUGAAAUAUCAAGACUAGACACAUAGGAGCAAAUUACAGAAAGGAAGAAGUAUUAAGGAUGAGGAAGAGCUGAGCCCCAGCCUAUCUUAGGAUGUCAACCAAGAAGAGCUUUGGAACAUGACCUCAUUGCAUCCUGGAGUUGUUAGAGCAACUGGGCCAAGGAUGGUGAGCCCCAGGCAUGGUAAGUUCUGCUUAUCGUUCUAAGAAAAAUUAUCUCCUUUCUUACUUGUUGUACAUGUCUAUCACAAGUAUUAUCUAGUAAUUCAUCUGUCUUUUUAAGCUUCUUGAGGCAAGCAUUGUGUCUUAUAGCCACCCAUGCCACCACUCAUCAGUGCCUGGCAUGGAGUAAUAUGCUUAAAAAGGUUUGUUAAAUAAAUGAAUACAUGAGUUUUUACAAUACUUGAGUCACAAUACCUGAAGUUCAGUGUUAACAAAUGAGGUAAGUGUAUCUUCAAAUAUAGUUCAGUUCCUGUUAUUUAAAUCAUAAACAAUAUACAAUUUGUUACUUGAUUAAUGCUUCUAAAUAAACACAUUGAAAAACACUAAUUCAAGAACAGCAAAUGCAAAAUAAUGUUCCCUUAUUUGGAGAAUGAUUUUCAAACGGAACAAUACUCAGCAUUUUGGGGGGAGGAGAGUGGGGGGUUGUUAUGGGGGAUUGAACCCGGGGCACUUUGCCACUAAAACAUAUCACCCAACACUCAGCAUUUUUAAUUGCUCAGUUUGGGACUAGUUCUGCUUUCUUAUCUUUGCUAACCUCACAUUUGUUGAUGGCACACACUCUGUAGUCAUCCCAGAGCAUUAAAUUCACUUUUAAGCAAAAUGUGAUGCCUCCCCUCUGACAAUUUUCUAUCCCAGUUUCUCCCACAACCAGCUCCACCAUGCUCAUGAAUAUUGUCUUUCACCUUUACUGUUUGACGAAACAUUAAUAAUAACGCCACUAUUGAUUGGCCUUUAUAAUUCAUGAAACAUGACAAGAAAUGGUAGAGUAUUUAAUUUUAUAGCAAUAUUUGAAAAUAACUGAAGUUUAGAAAACUUAGAUAAAUUGCCCAUGUCAAAGUUACUGCCACUGUUAUGUACACAGAACUCAAAAGAGGGAGAAACAGAUGUAGUAUUGGCCAGUGAUGGCACAUUGGUAAUUGUCAACUCCACAGGAAUACAUGAGAUACCUAACUCAGGAAGAGCACAUGGAACAAGUGUAAAGGGUGCCAAAUCCUGGGUGAAUAAGAAUGGGAAGGGUCAGGAUGAAGAACCAGAGAGUGAGAGCAACCGGAAAGUAACAUUAAGAUUUUAAAAACCAGAUACCAGCUCAAGAGGUGAAUCUUUACCCUCCUUCUGCUAAUCCUUCUUCUAAGAGGAUGGACUUUCCUUUUCUUUCUUAUCUGUUUUUCUCAACUCCUAUACAAAAUAUGCCAUUUAUAAAAACUGAAGCUGAAGAAGGCAUUCAUAUUUUUUUUUAAGUUUUCUCUCUUUUUUUUCAUUUGUUGAUGGACCUUUAUUUUAUUUAUAUAUGGUGCUGAGAAUUGAACCUAGGGCCUCACACAUGCUAGACAAGCUCUCUACCACUGAGCUACAGCCCCAGCCCAUGUUGUUUUUUAAAUCCAACAUUACAUGCUGAGAGAAUAUUUCAUUUUUAUUUCAUGUUGUCUUAGGUCAAUGUGCAAGUUAUUGGGCUACUCACAAGUCUGAGUGACAUUCCUGAGAACUUACUGUAAAACAAAGAAUCUUACUGUAGACAUAGUGACAAUGUGGAAAUCCUUUGUGGUUUGACUGGGUUGCUAAUCAGAAUCUGCAAUUUUGAAAAUUUUCUUUUGGAAUUGUCAUUAUGUAUACAUAAUUAAAAGUCAUUUCAAUCAGCUUGCAUUUUUGAAUGAAAUGAAAAAUUAUAUUUUCAAAUACCCUUCCAAAACUACAUUCAACUUUUUAAAUUAUGAAUUUUCUCAUUCAUUUAAUAUUUUAUCUGAUUAAAAUUCUGAGUAAUUCAUACAUAGGCUAAUUUUAAAUUGACUUAUUUUACAUUUUUGAGGAAAUAAUUUAAGAGUAUACACACAAUUUCAAAGGUAAUUUUUAUGUGAGGGUAUAAACAUUAUAAAAAUUUGGAGUGAAUCUAUACCUUUGGGAAGAUUUCCAUGGCAAGGUAGAAUCCAUCCCUCAUGGUCUCCCUCAUGCUGCUGAUCAUUCUUACAUAUUCCCUAAAGCAGAACCUCUACCUGCUAAGAAUACCUGCUAAGUUAGGUCUGGGUCCUUUCUUUAUUGGAAAGCAAUAAUAGUGCUUUCCAGUGAAAAUAUAUAGUAAUUCAGAUAAAUUCUAACUAGUCCUGAUUAUAUUACUUAUUGUAUUUCAUUACAAUUUUGUUUAUUUUACUUUUAUCUUUUAAAGUAUAAAAUAAUUUUAUUCCCAUGAAAAUUGCAGAGGAAUGAAUUUAUUUCUCCAGUGUUAGUCUAUAAUGCUUUCUUUUGUUUCUUAUCAGUGGUUGUUUCAAAAGAAACAAUUUUCAAAAGCCAUAAAAGUUCUUCCACAUAGUUGAGGUAAAAUAAAGAAAAAAUUCCUAGGCAGCAUUUUUAAAGCCUGAUAUGAGAUAUUUUGUCUACUUAAAACUAAGAAACAGCAAAAGUAAAAAAGAAAAAAAUAUAUAAAGUUCUUCUUAGUACACACCGCCAACAUGGUUCAGGUGGCUCAUGGAGGUUGGCUGAGUGAGGAAGAAGAACUCUUUUGAGGGUAAUGCCAGAAAGCUGGUAGAAACUGUAAAUGUUAUUGAUCAGAAUAGGACUUUUGUGAUUGGAUCUUUCACUAAUGCAAGGAGACAGGUCAUGCCUUUCAAACACAUGCAGCUCUCUGACUCCAUCAAGUUCCUAUACAGGACCUGCCAGAUGUACAUCCCACUUCAUCUGAUCAGGACAAGAAGGGUGGCCACAAGAUAGGUCAAGAAGAUUAAAGCUAGAGAGAGGAAAGUCAAAAUUACAGAUUUUGAUCACCUUAAAGCCUAGAAGACAAAGAAAAUAAGAAAUAAAAUAAUCAACAAUGAAACUAGGAAACUUCGAAGGGCCACUACUCUCCUGAAAGCUUUUCCCAAAAAAGUACCUGUCACUAGGUUGCAGCUAUAGCUGCUGUUAAAACUAGAAUUCCAGCAAAAGAGAUGACCCCUCCUUGCAAGAAGGAUCCAGCCAGANAUUUAUUAUGUAUCGAUAUGUAAUUGUUUAACAGGAUGUUACUAUAAGUUAAAUGAACUUAACUUUCCUUUGUCCUAUUCAGAGUACUUGCCUAGAAAUGACUUCUCUAAAUUUGCAAUUUCCAGAGUCUGCACUGAUUCUGUUCAUCUUUUAUAGGAUGGUCUGAUGCUCAUAAUUUUUCAGUCAAGCUGCAUACUUAUUCAUACUACAAACCUGUGUUGAGAACUUACUUCUCUAUCUGGCCAGGUACUGUGUUAGAUACAUAAUCCAGAAAUGCACUCUACCUUGCGCUGGAAAUCCCCUCUCCUCCCCCACAGAUCCCGGCUCCAUGUGUGAGGGUUCAUCUAUCUGGUCUUAUCCCUGAGGACUCAACUUAAGUGUCCCCAUGAGUGGUCCUGUGCACUGUCCCCACCAAGCUGUAGCAAGUCUUCUUCUCAACAGUACACACUUUGUGUAUCUCUAAUAAAGUCAUCAUUGCUUCAUGUAGAAUCCAUUUUCCUGAUGGGAUCCUUCACCCAAAUGUAAGCUGUUCAGGGCAGAAGGCUUCUGGACAGCAAUUGGAGAACAAUUCAGGUGUCAAUAUAGCUGGAUUUUCAGGUGCCAAGGAAAAGGGGAUGGGCCUAUUCUCUCUGACUAUCUAAAGAUUGCAUUUUAAUCCUAAAUUUAAAAUGCUUCAAACUUUGAAAAAAAUUAUAUCUAAGAGUUUAAAGUCACAAUUCCUUAUUUUUUUUAAUUUCAUGAGGAGAAAUUGCCUCUGAAGAGUUCUUUAACUUUGGGAAAGGAAAUGUUUAAUCAGCAAAAAUUUAAACAGAUAUUUCUGAGGAGGAAGUUACUUGAGGAAGCAGAAGGGCAACCAUGCAUGUGCACUGAGCAGGAAGUAGGUAAACAUCGGGCCUCUGAGUUAGAUCUUGUAAAAUCCAGGGACACAGUGAUUUGGGAGGGGUUCCUAGAGAUAUUUACUAGUAAUGAAGGAGAGCCUGAUGAGGAGUCUAUCUUCUUCCUAAUUAUAUUACUUUUAAUGCAAAACAACAAAUAGAAAGCAGAUUUCUCAAACACCCCAAAAGCUGAACUGCCUGGGGAAAAUGAUGCAUCUGCAAAUCAGCCUGGACUAGUUCUCAAAUACUUUGCACAAAUUAAUAAAUUAAAGUAGCGGCCAAGCAGGACAUAGCAGGUGAGAAAAAAAAUACGCAGAAACAGCCAGGAGAUAAGUUCCUGAUAAAAGCAUUCUUUUCAAAGAACAGCAAGAACCCAGACUGGAAGGUUGGUGUUGUCAAUUUAAGUCUGAUUCCUCUCAAGAAAAGAUGUGAUGAACAGAUAAGAGUAAUUUUAAUUAGCACUUUGGUUGUUCAUAAAGUAUUUCAAGACAUUUCAAAGCAGUUCUUUUAAACCUCUUAAAUGCUUAUACAUCCUGUUAAUUUAUGUUAUAAAAAGGAUGACUUAUUAAGCAAAUAUUGACAUCAAUCCAGACGAUUAUGGCAAACUUUGAAAUGCUGGAGUCCAAACCAAUAGAUUUUAUUUGUCCACACUACUAAUUAAGGAUUUGAAGCUAAAUUUAAAAGCAAAAACCUAUUACUCUUCAUAUGAUGUUUCAUUAGUUAUUAAGGAUUUAUGCAUUGUUACACAUUAAAAACAUAUAUACAUUGCAUUUGAAACAAAAAGAAAACUUUAAAGAGACUAUAAAGCAUGAUGAACCUCCUUGGUUAAUAAGCAAGGUACUCCCUGUUCACAAACAUUCAAGCCCAGGAGAGUCAGUCAUGAGCAGGUCACCAAAGGCUCUGACUCCUUGGGUCAGAGCCUGAGAAUCCCAACUCUGGCUAGGAACCAAAACAGAACUUUAUAGACAUAUACAGAAACAUAAACAAACACACAAACAAACCCCAAGACAUUGUGAACUAGAAGUUUGAGGUAGAGUUCUAUAGACAGCAGACACAAAACCUGGGUGACACUCUCCCAAAACUUAAUGCUAGAGCAUUUGGUAUGCUUUGCUGAUGACCUAAUCUAAGCUACAGCAAUGUCCCUAAAUUAAGAAUUAGUGUGUUAGCAAGUAUAAACUUAUAGAAUUAUUCUUGAACCCCGCUUCUUAAGUCAGACCUUGCAGGGUACUUUGACUUUUGCAUUUGUUAAAAGCAAUAUUGGAUGUUGUGUUAUUUCUGCCUACUCUAAAUGUGUUCACCACUUUUUAAGUGGGAAGCAUGUAGCAGAAAGGUUAGAACUUUUCCCUACAUCUGACAAAAAAUAAAUGACAAUUUAUAAUAUAAUUCAAUUCUCUUCAGUGGAUAACUAGAAAAUAAUAGCAUUCAUUUGGCUACCAUUCUUGGGCAUAUUUUAAAAUUCUUUACAUGACUUCUUAUGUUUAUUUGAUUUUUCCAGCCCAUAAUGUUGGUACAAUUUUCAUUUUACAUAUGAGGAAAUGAAGGACAAAGUGACUUUGUGAUCUCUCCAAGAUCACACAUGGCUAGUAAAUAUGGAGGCAGAAAUGAAAUUUAGUCAACCUGACUCCAAAGUCUUAACAAUAACAUGCUGUUUAUUUCUCUACCAUCUUUCCUAUAAUAAUAAUUUGUGGUAUUUUGUCUGUCAGAUGCUAUAAAUGACCUAAUUGUAGAGUUAAUCCUCCUCUAGACUCACAUGAAAAACAAAAUUCCUAGGGUAACCUUUUGGUCCAACAAUCUGUAACCAAGGUCUUCCCAGAGGAGGUCCUUCCCUCACCCACAAUUCCUAUCUUGACUUAGUGCCUCUUGGUUCAGGACCUCAGUGCUCUAAGACUUCCUAUCUCCAUUAGCACUCACAGAAUUUUACUCAGGCCUUUUCUCCAUGUACACAGUCAUUUGUUUUACAGAAAAAAUCAAAAUGUAUUUCAGCCACCCAUCUGUUGCUUAAAUCCCUUCUACAAUAUUCUUAUCAAAUGGUCUGGAAAUUUGAAAUCUCCAUGGUAGCUCAUUUCAUCUUUGGAUACCUUUAAAUCUAACUGUAGUUUUCUUUAGUUAUAACUUGUAAACUUAAUCUGGUUGUUGUUAUUUUGAGCACUUAAAAAUGAUGGAAUUUGUCUCUAGAAAAAAAAUGCAGACAUGUGCAAAAUGUUUCAUAAACAAUUUCUGAGGAUUGCAGAUACCUUAAAGCCUACGAAUGGUCUGUGGACCUUGGGCUGAGAAACUUCCAGUAAUAGCUCCUCAGAUGCUGUAAGGAAAUGCUUUUCUCUUCUAUAUUUGUGCAUUGUGUCCAAGUUCGUGGACUUCAGUUCUCGCCCCACUGAAUUACCUCUGUUUAGAUUUCAGCCACUUAUUUCAGCCAUGGAGAUCUUUCCUGAAAUCUGAUUCUAUGAUCUAAUCUAUUUACUUUCCUUCCUUAAAGUUGCUUUAGGGCUUUAUCAGCAUGCUCUAGGGCUUUUGCCAUAGCCACUGGCAAAGAUAUGGACCAGGAAAUGGCUAGGAACAGAACACUGCUGUUAGCAGCUAGCAACCAGUUUCCUAAAGGAUAUAUUUAUUACUCUGGGUAAGUGGGAUGUGCCACUACAUUUUUUUGGCAAAGAUCAUACAAUGAAAAUAAAGUGAAUACCAAGGAAGUGUGCAUAACAAACAGAAUAUAAUCAUAUACAGUUAACCUUAUCCCCUUUAGAGAACUGCUUUUUUUUUUUUUCUGAUUUCUUCUGUUGGGUUAGUUAAGGAAUUGGACUAACAACACAGGGAAUUUGAAAACACAUGAGAGCCACAUGAUUGAAAGGCUAAGUACUGAUUGCAACAUUUCCUUUUAUAGUUUAGUGUAUGACCUUAGGAAACCCACACAUGUUCCAGGUCUAGAGACUUAAAAAAUUAUAAUCCUCCUAAAUAAAUAGUGUGGCUACCCAAUGGCAAGCUCUUUGGCUUAAAGAAUUCUCAUGGCCACUAACUUAAAUGCCAUGUUUAGUCUACAUUUUUAAAAAGAGUUUAAUUUGCUUAUUUGCUUGCUUGUUUUUAUUUUCUGCAGGGGAGGGGGCAAGGACAGUAUCAGAGAUUGGACCCAGGAGCACUUAACCACUGAGCCCCAUCUCCAGCCCUUUUUAUUUUUUAUUUUGAGAUAGGUUCUGGCUAAAUUGCUUAUGGCCUCUUUAAGUGUCUGAGGCUGGCUUUGAAUUUAUAAUCCUCCUGCCUUCCACACUGUUGGGAUUACAAGUGUGCGUCACCAUGCUCAGAAUAGUUUCUUUGCUUUUAAGAAAACAUUUUCAUGCUUUAAAGUAGCUUUUACUUCUGGUAUUCUAGAGUUUUGUGGACAGUUCACCUUGACCGUGUUCAGGUACUUGGUAGAUUUUAUAAAUCAGGUCACAUGCUUCUGGUGUUUCAGAACUAAGAGUUGCAACGAAGCUAGUAUUGUACAGCAGAAAAAAAUUGAAAAAGAUCAGUCAGAGGCUUCUAGGUCUGUUAUUAACUACAUUAGUGAUCAUGAACAAUUAAACCACCCUUUCUGGGGCUCUUGUCACAAGGAAAAGAGGGAGGGAGCUAGGUUACCUCUCUGAGAUCUCCUUUAAUUUUCAAAACUCUGUAGUUCUAAUUUUAAUAAAUUAAAAGGACACACUAAACCAUAAGAAAUAAUAAAUAGUAUCUAGAUUCCUUUCUGUGCUUUAAACUUCAAGACUAAAAUAUUAUUUUAAUACACAAGUGCUAUCAUACAGCAUAUUUUCACCCGAUUAGCAAUUCAUAGUAGAUCACAGGACAUAAUCCCUCUAAUCCAGUGUUUCCUCAAUGUGGUUUUACAUUGGAAACACCAAGGGAAUUUUAAAACUGCUUUAGCCUAGAUCUUGCCACCAAAUAUUCUGAUUUAAUUGGUGAGAGGUGAGCCAGAUGGACCAGAAAGAGUACUAUAACUUCUCUAGGACCAAACAACUGCUCUAACCCAUAGUUCUCCAUUCUGUGCAUCCAGGAGCCACCUGGGAGCUUUUCAGACCUGCCAAUGCCUAGGCUCACCUCCAGAUUCUGAUAUAAUUGGCCUGUGGGACCUAGGUGUUGAUAAGUUUUCAAACUCUCCUGGUGACUGUGACGUGCACUCAGGGUUGAGAACCACUCCUUUAAUUGCUACCUCGCUAGUUCUAUCUAGUUGAUCAUCUGACCUCUUAUUCCAGCCCACACUGGCCACUCAUCAAAUGAAAAUCCUUGGACCUUAUUACAAGGUGCAGCUCUGCCUCCAUUACAUCAACCGAGUGCCAACUUCCUGCUUUUUUUCUAGAAUCAUAACCCUCUUAUCUUUUCAAUUAACCAGCGCUCCAUGUUCUGUGACUUAACUGGUCUUCUGGUCUCAAAUGAUUCUUUUCAUAAUGUCACCCCUUUCCUUACUACAACUUUUUGUCUGCUGCGAUCAUCCAUUCACCCUAGUACUUUGCAUCCUUUCGUCCACUACUCUUCUGCAUCCUGGACUAUCCUUAUCAUAUUUUCUCCGCUAAGUCCAGCUGACUACUAUUAAAUGAAAUCUAAAAGAGAUAUAAAGCUGAAAAAAAUCUGCCCAUUGUGAUCAUCAAACAGCCAAAUUCUAAACAUGUACAGCAAAGGAAUUGGAAAACACACACACACACACAUACACACACACAAUUUAUAAAGUUGUGGAGUUUUUUUUGGGGGGGGGCAGUACUGGGGAUUGAACUCAGGGGCACUCAACUACUGAGUCACAUCCCCAGCCUUAUUUUGCCUUUUAUUUAGAGACAGGGUCUCACUGAGUUACUUAGCAUCUUGCUUUUGCUGAGCCUGGCUUUGAACUCUACAUCCUCCUAUCUCAGCCUCCUAAGCCACUGGGAUUAUAUGCGUGAGCCUGGAAAUUUACAAAGUUUUUAUAGCAAUAAUAUUACACAUGUAAAAAUGUUUAUAUUUUCUUCAAUGUAACAUUAGCUGUAGUUCCAGUCAGGUACCUUGACAAACAUAAAGAUCAAUCUGAAAAAGAACAAGGCUGAGAACUGUGUAUUAUCUAGGGAAUUAAGUAGUUACCAAAAGACUGGAACUUUAUAAUAGAAAAAUGAAGGCCGAGGGUGCCGCAGUCUGGUUGGGCACAAAAUAACCGAGCCACCACAAAACCUUGUAGAUUCAAACAGCAACUCUUUAUUCCAGAACUCUCACCGACACUCUACCCACACUUCCCGUGAACACCCUGCCUCCACUCGGCUCCGCGCACCAAUCCUCUCAGAACCCCGCGAGAACUCAACGGGAACUCCAAAGGAGCGGGUGCCUGAGGCAGCAGGAUACAACCUAUACCCAGCAGGAUCCACCCUAAACCUGGAGCCGCCCUAUUCCCAGCAGGAUCCACCCUAAACCUGGAGCCACCCUAAUCCCUGAGCAGGUUCACCUUUCAACCCAAAAUGCCAUGCAUCAUUCCUACUUGGCUAUGGCUCUCAGCACGAGGGUGAGUCAUUUUACCAUGAUGAUUAAUAUCAUAAUUUUGUUUCAAAUAAGGAACAUAGAAAGCAUAAAAUGUAUUCUAGGAAAAAUGAAAGACAUUAUUUCAUAGUAAUUAUAAAACAAAACCCUAGGUAAAAAUAAAUGGGUUCAUUGAAGGCUUAGACAAAUUUGAUUAUCAAUUAAGGUAUAAUAAGUUUUGCAGAAUGUAAAAAGAAAUACUAACAUCAGGGAAGAACUUUAUAAUUUAAAGCAUUUUCAUAUGCAUGUUUUUAUUCAAAUGGUUGGGGGGGGGGCGGUUAGAGGUCUCCUGACUAUAUUCUGAACAUUUUGAGGCCAGCAUUGUCAAUGUCAAGUUGCCAUCAGUUUCUUCCUCCUUUAAGAGGCUAUCUGAAAUGUGAUGCUAUACAGACCAGACCUUUAUUCUUAGUGGCAUUUAUAUCCUUAAUAACUAGAGGUAGGUUUAUCAUGAAGCUAAUGAAGCUUUAAGCUUUAACCUCCUUUCUUACAAAGGUUCUUCCCAAAGCUCUAAGUGGGGCCCAGGCAUUGGUUCCAUAUGCACAUGUUUUUAUCAAAUAACAAAAGUAAAUUAUUAGGGCUGGGGUUGUAGCUCAGUGGUAGAGCGCUUGCCUUGCAUUCAUGAGGCCCUGGGUUCGAUCCUUAGCACCACAUAAAAAAUAAAUAAAUAAAAAUAUUGUGUUUAUCUACAACUAAAAAAUUUUUUUAAAUAUAUAUUAUUAUAGUUUGUUGUGAUUUCUUUUUCCAUUCUAAAUAUUUACUUUUUCACUUGCUCUGUAUUAGUAAUUUUGCAUUCUUUUUCUUUGGGAUGGAAUAUGGACCUGCAUAUAACCCAUUAUUUCUAAAUUACAGUGUCCUGCUAAACACUGCGAGACCAGUAACAUCUCUCUUCUUUGUCUUUUACCUUCUCCAUCAACCCUCAGCCUUUGAGGGUUAGCUCUUCCUGGCUCUCUCCACAACCUUUUUUCUCAUUUCUGAUGAUCAUCUCCUCACAGAGAAUAUUCUUUCCAAGGAAGACAGAGAACAUCAGGUAAAGCUUUCCAAUUAUCCCCUUACUCUCUUCUACAUUUUGUAAUAACUGUACAUAUUCAUGGGCUCCAAUGUGGUGUGUUGAUAUUUGCAAUAGAUGUUCUGUGAAGAUCCAAUCUGUGUGUCACUUCCAAUAUUUAUCCUUUCUUGGAAUUACUCUCUGAAUGUUCUUUCCCUGUACUAUUUCCCCUCCUUUUCCUCAACCUAAAAGGAGUUGAAGAACUCAGUUACUAUCUUGAAACUCCAACCUCCUCCUGCUGAGGACCAGCUCUCCCUUCUCUGUCCUCCCCGCAAGCUUGGUCCUCUCAUUCCAGACACCCUCCCUCCUGUUCCUCAGGACCUUUAUGCUGCCUUUGAGCACACUCAGCACUUUCAGCAUAAAUGGUCUCACUUAGUGGUUUCUCUCUUCUAAAUUUCCAUGUCUUUAACCAAAAGAAAAAAUAAAGCAAAUACUGAAAAUGACUUUUAUCCUGAGUUACUUUGGCACAAAUACCCAGAGGGCAGGAAGAAGGUCUAUGGCAUUUGCACCUGGGCCAAUCUUAAGAGCUUCCAAUGCUGCCCCAGCUAUAGAAGUUGCCAAAAUAGACACUGGGAUAUAUAAAAAAGAAGAAAAAAAAGAGCAUCAGUUUUUCCUUCCACAAAGUGUGGUUUAGUGCACCUGGGGAUGUGAUCAUCUGAGGAGGGUUCUGUUUGUACCCAUGCAUGGACCAUAGUACCCAUGUCAGAAGUGCCCCUCGCGGUCAAUUUCAGGAGAUCAACCAUGAAGAUUCAAUUUUGAUCACUCUACACUACUCACACAAUUCAGUAUAGGCAAAAUUUUUAUUUCACAGAGAUUUCAAUAAUGCAUAUUUUGGCUGAAAAAACUGUCAUACUUAGAAGUUUAUCUAGAUAAUACACUUAAAAAGGCUCUGUUGGUCACCAAAUAUUUUAGUUAUCAUAGUUUUUCUAGAUUAAGUCAAUCUAAAUGGUGAUUCUGGGAAAAUGUUUAAAAUAUGUUAUAAUGCUAUGGUCUCUUAAUUUUCUUCCCAGGAAAAAAUACUUCUCACAGUUUAAAUCUGAUUUAAAUAAAGAUUUUAAUAAAGAAGCACUUACUUGAGAGUCUCUGGGUAGGAUCAGCAUUGUGGUUGAAUAGAAACACACAGAGUCUGCCAAGGGAAAAAAAACGAAAGGAUUUGAACUUUGCCUUAGAUUUUGGUCUAGGAAUUUGCAGUACUUUAAAGUUACAUAUUUUGUUCAACCUACAAAAACCCACAAUGUUUGUGGAAACCCAAGAAAGUCAGCUUCUUCUCACUGAAUAUUCUUAGUACAAUAAAAUAUUAAUUCUGUCUUAAAGUUGCAUAUUUUCACUUAUUCAGUAACACACUGUGCUGAUUUCCUGGGUGCAAGUUACUUAAGUUAAAAAUAGAUGGAAUUAUGAGCAAACACACAGCCCUAGAUAUCUCUUCACAUGUAAUUUGCUAGCUCCCCAGUAUUCAUCUGAGUAUUAGUGUUCUGGGGGUUAAAAAACAGUGACAUGUGAAUAAGAACCAUGACCUGUGAAUUCCUGACAGUUCUAACAAAGAAACUUUUAAGUUAACAGUCCUAACAAAGAAACUUUUUAGUUAAAUAUAUGUAUCUUGAUUUUCUUCUACCCACCACUACUACUGGACAAUUAUUUUCAAUUUUGUAUAGAGCACACUCCCUAAAAAAUGCUGAAUCACUAUGAUAUGAGAUAUUUAUGCAGUCUCAUGCUUAGGAUUACCCAACAAAGGAAGCUAGAUAAUGACCAGUGUUGAAUUCAGCCUAUUGCUAACACUGGCUAUCUUCCACUCAUCUCCCAGAAUUUACAUGGGGAAAUGUGAAUUCCCCAUGGAAGAUAGUAGAAAAAGAAAAAGGAGAAAACAAAUAAUGAUGAAAUACAUUCUUCAGUUGAGUUUUAUAAGCUUACAUUGCCUCUGGCAUGAGGAAACAACUGGCCUCAUAAAGUGCAGGUCAGAUUCCCUAUCACAUUAAACCAGGGCUUACAGUGUGUAACACACCUGUAGGGGACAGCCAGGAUAACCAAGCUGAGGACAAUAACCAACAUGACAAAUUGGUAAAUAUUUGUUCUAAAGGAUUAGAAGCAAUUCCAUAUGUUCUGUGUCUCUUUGUCACCCACUGUGAGUUCCCAUCCUUUAUUUCUCUUUCUCCCACUUAGCACAUACGUGGGUUUUAUGCAUCAAUAAAUACAUGACAGAAAGAAAGUGAAUAAUUUGGGAUACAAUGUGUCUAAACUUAGUUCUUUUUAAAAAUAUAUAUUUUUAGUUGUAGAUGGACACAAUAUAUUUAUUUUAUUUAUUUAUUUUAUUUUUAUAUGGUGCUGAGGAUCAAACCCACUGCUUCACAGGUGUGAGGCCAGUACUCUAUCACUAAGCUACAACCUCAGCCCUAAAUUAAAUUCUUUUUUUUUUAAUUUAUUUUUUUGUAGUUGUAGAUGGAGAGAAUACCUUUAUUUUGUUUAUUUUUAUUUGGUGAUAAGGAUGGAACCCAGUACCUCACACAUGCUAGACAAGCACUCUGCCACUGAGCUACAGCCCCAGCCCUCUAAAUUUAAUUCGUAAACACAAGAAUUUUUUAAAAUUUUGAAUGGGGAGAAUUCGCCAAAGGAGAGGCCCCCAAAGAAGACCUAUCUUUAGUGCACCAAAAAUAAUUCAUCCAACAAAUAUUUACUAUCGUUUGCAUCUAAGGCACCUGAGGCUCCUGAGACUCAGUGAUCAGAAGGACAGAGCGGGACACUGAUCUCAUGAAAUUCACAGUCUAGUGGGAAUGAUAGUUUUUAAAGAAAAAAAAGAGCAUAUAAAUGAUAUAAUAAUAAGUGUGAUUACUGAUAAAAUGGAAAUGCUUUGAAGAAGUAGAAACAUGAAAGCCAGAUCAUGCAGGGUUUUGAGACCCAUGACAAAGGUUUUCUGUUUUAUCCUAAGAGAAAUGAGAAUAUUAUAAGAUUUAAAUUAGGGAUAUAAUAUAAUUGAAUUUUCAUUUUUAAAAGACCCGUGAUCUAGAAGUACACAAGAUUGGAGGAGAUGAGCAAAACAAAGUGUGAUGAGAAAACAAAAGUCCAGUUGGGAGGCUACUGCUAAAGUUCAGACAAGAGGUGGUAGCAGCUGAACAAGAAGAGUAGCAGUGGACAUAUGGAGAGGUAGACAGAUCCAAGAUUCAUCUUCAAAGUAGUAUUGACAGGCAUUUUAAAAAGAGACAACAGUUAUGGGUAAUAUUAGCAUUUCUGUCCUGAGCAGUUAGUAGGUGGUGGGGAGAUUGAGAAUUCCAGAUAAAGAGUAGAUUUCAGAAAUAAGAAAAUGAGUUCAAGUUCAGACACGUUAAAACUGAUAUACCUAAAAGGCAUUCAAUAGGGGAUACCAAAUAAAAAGUUAUGUGUGACUUCAGAACUUAGAGGAAGGUCUUUGGUGAAGAAACCAAUCUGUAAGUCAUCGUGUAUACAUAAUGUAUUUUUAUAAACUGCAGGAAUGGACAAGAUUUCAUAGAAAAAGAAUGUGGAAUGACAAAUAAACAAGGGUCCAAGACUGAUCUUUGAAGAACUCAAAUUGCUAAGUAGAGGAAGAUCUCCCAAAGCGGGAUUAGGAGGAUUGGCCGCAUGGGGUAGAAGGAAAAUUAGAUUGUGUGUUAUGUCUUACAGAAACCAGGGAAAGGAAAUUUCAAAUGGAGUGAAUGAUCACACAGGGAAAUAAAGGAAAGGAAAGGAGAACAGAGAGUGUACAUGGAAUUUUGUGGGGUGAAUGGCAUUGAGAUCUUAGAACAAUGUGAACAGCAUAAUAUUUUGGAGAGGGCUUAGUCCUGAAGGGAAGUGAGUUUAUAGAGAACUCUUUCUAGAGUCCUGAGCAUGGACAGGAUUCUGAGGUUCUAUCUUGGGUUAUAUAGCCUACAUUUCUCCAUUUGUGAAAUGAGGAUGUGAAUAUAAUCAUACUCAGAAAACAACUUGAGAAGUGCAUGGUAAAGCCCUAUACUUGGCAUCAGUCCAUUGAAGUUCAAAUGAGAUUUCUUUGCCCAUUUGAGAUCGUGGACAAUAUGCAUUCUUUCAAAGAGUUUAUGAUUUAAUGAGGGAAAUGGAAUAAAACAUAUACAUUUAAGAAAAUAUGAUCAAUUUGGAGAUGAAAGUAUACAUAAUGUGCUAUGGAGGUGAGGAAAAGGCAAUUUACUCCAACCAGGAAAUUUGAGAAACAUUCUAGAGGAAAAGACAUGAACUAAGUUGUGAAUGAGUAAAAUGACCCAGGUGUUGAGAAGAAGCAAAGGUAACACCACAGAGGAACAUGGUGGAGGCCCAGAGAUUGACAAGUAAAAUCCAGUGUAUAUCUUGCUUAUGAUUUGCUCACUGGUUUCUAUAAAUAAUAGUUGGAGCAUGGAAGGUAAGUCCAGAGAGGCAGACGGGCAUAACUCAUGGAGAAUUUGUGUGCCACGUUUAAAGGAUUUGACUUUAUACUCUAGUAACUGGGUUCAAAUCUAUGAUUAACCAGCUAUUAGCUCUAUGACUUUGGCAAAGUUACCUAUAGUUUCUGAGCUUCAAUUUUAUCAGUGAGUUUUUUUUUUAUUUUUUUAAGUUAUAAUUUGGACACAAUACCUUUUAUUUUAUUUAUUUAUUUUUAUGUGGUGCUGAGGAUCGAACCCAGCGCCUUGCAUGUGCUAGGCAAGCGCUCUACUGCUGAGACACAACCACAGCCCCCUCAGUAAGAGUUUUGAGCUUUAAAUUCCUUAAUGAUAACUUGAUACCUACAUGCUAAUAAUAUUUCAUUACCUCUCAAGUGGGAUAAAAAUUUGUUAUCAGAGCAGGAAGCAGUCUUUAGACAAACACCCAGUCUACUGAUGCUGCACGUGAGUCCCAAAGAGAUUGGUAAUUUAUCCAAGUUCAUGCCUUGAAGAAGCAGCAGAAUCUAGAGCAAAUCUAAGUUCUAGUAUCUGAUACUUUGACACAAUUGAAUAUUUUCUUCCUCCGGGAGUUAAAAAAAAAAUGACCAAAGCAAUCAAAUAACAGACACAUGCAGGGUGUGGUGGCACACACCUUUAAUCCCAGUGGUUUGAGAGAUUGAGGCAGGAGGAUUACAAGUUCAAAGCCAGCCUCAGCAACGGCAAGGUGCUUAGCAGCUCAGUGAGACCCUGUCUUUAAAUAAAAUACAGAAUAGGGCUGGGAUGGGGCUCAGUGGCAAAGUACUCCUGAGUUCAAUUCCUAGUGCCUCCCGCCAAAAAAAAAAAAAAGAAAAAGAAAAAGCAGACGACAGAUUGUUCAAUCUCAAAGGACCAGUAAAGAUGCCAUUUUCUGAUAGGGGGCCCCAAACUGAAAGCUGAGAAUUAAGACUGGAAUGAGGGGUGGGGUAUGGUAGCCAUAUCUCCUUCCUGUUGCAAAUCACCGUGAGCUCCCUACUUGAUAUAUAUAUAUAUAUAUAUAUAUAUAUAUAGAGAGAGAGAGAGAGAGAGAGAGAGAGAGAGAGAGAGUAAGGAAAUGAGUUUUGACAGAAGGCAUGCCAGAUUCAUAUUCCUGUUCUGCCAUUUACUAGUUAUGUGACUUCAGUCAACAAUUUCCUAUAUCUGUAAAAUCUGAAAAUAAUGCAUUACUGACUUCUAAUUAGUAUAUGUGAACAUGCUUAACACAUUGUAAAAAACGCAAGGCCCUUAAAUAGUUUUAAGAAUUCUUUCUGACAAGAACACAGAGCAGGCCGCCUCGGACACUGGUUGAGUAUAUUUAAUGACAUAUACCCAGACACUUUAUUGUCAAGGCAUACCAGAGACUCUGGAAGCAUUCGGGACAUUAUUUUAUGGACUAUUUGCUGUCUUCUAGAUUCCAGACUGGCCUUCUAAGUGCUUUACAACUGAUGUCAGACUAGUCAAUGGCUCAGAGACCAAAGAUCAGAAUCUGAAUUGGACUUGGUGGAGCCUUUAGCUAACAGGAAAGGGACAUGUGAUGGGUUAGUGGGGCAGGCGUGGUGUCUCCCAUGGAAAAAAUAAUGCAUCUGAAGGUAAGAAAAUUAAAACUGGGUGAAGCAGAGAAAGAAGCUGUCUACCAAUGUGUCAUCAUCUCCAACACAAAAAUGUUCUGGCUGGGCAGCCAUAAAAUGCUUUCUCUGUAAUUAUUAACAGCUAUUGCCUGAAAAUUAUUUUUGACCUCAUUCCAAUGUAAAAAACAAGACAGGAAGAGUAAGCAUUUUUCUUGAACUUCACAACCUUUAAGGAAGAAAGCAUAACAAUCUGCCUGAAGUAUCCAUAAACUAGUUCUGUAAUCUUCACAUGACUUGGUGUACUCCCCCUCUCUGGUGAAGAAAAGAGAGGUCCAGACAGAACAAGCCAUAGACAGGGUACACGUGAGGACCAUGUUUUGCUGCUGCUUCUUUCUUCUUCUGAAAUUUGCUAAUGUCUUUGUCAUGGUCAUUCAGUAACAAGCAUACUUCCUAUUGAAAUAGCAAGGCAAAACCAAAGGCAACUGAACUCCACAUGCUUUAAGUCUUGAGCCUCACAAAUAUUUCUAUCUACAAAAUUCGCACUAGAUAUCUCUCUUCACCAUUCCCAUUUUAUAGUUUUCUAAAUGCUCAUACCACAAGCUAUGUAAGAAUCAAAACAAAUUUCUUUAACUCCUUUUCCUCUUUUCUGUUUAAGAAAAUCUGAUUAGAAAAGUCCUUUGGGUAUAGACCGAGGAGAGGGAUAGCUGGGUCAAAUGGUUGUUUCAUUUCCAAUUUUCUAAGAAAUCUCCAUACUGCUUUCCAUAUUGGCUGCACCAAUUUGCAGUCCCACCAGCAGUGUAUGAGUGUACCUUUUUCCCCACAUCCUCACCAACACUUAUUGUUGUUUGUAUACAUAAUAGCUGUCAUUCUGACUGGAGUGAGAUGAAAUCUUAGAGUGAUUUUUGAUUUGCAUUUCUCUAAUUGCUAGUGAUGAUGAACACUUUUUCAUGUAUUUGUUGAUUGACUGUAAAUCAUCUUCUGAGAAGUGUCUCUUCAGGUCCUUGGCCCAUUUAUUGAUUGAGUUAUUUGAGGGUUUUUGUUGUUGUUGUUGUUGUUGUUGUUUUGGUGUCUAGUUUUUGAGUUCUUUAGAUACCCUAGAGGUUAGUGCUCUGUCUGAUGUGUGAGGGGUAAAGAUUUGCUCCCAAGAUGUAGGCUCUCUGUUCACCUCACAGAUUGUUUUUUUGCUGAGAAGAAACUUUUUAGUUUGAGUCCAUCCCAUUUAUUGAUUCUUGAUUUUAAUUCUUGUGCCACAGGAAUCUUAUUAAGGAAGUUGGGGCCUAAUCCCACGUUUUUCUUCUAUUAUACGCAGGGUCUCUGGUUGUAUUCCUAAGUCCUUGAUCCAUUUUGAGUUGAGUUUUGUGCAUGGUGAGACAUAAGGGUUUAAUUUCAUUAUUAAAAACAGCAUACUACAGGAACACAGCCACAUCAAUGUUUACAGCAGCACAAUUCACAAUACCUAAAUUGUGGAACCAACCUAGAUGCCCUUCAAUAGAUGAAUGGAUAAAAAAAAGUGGCAUAUAUACACAAUGGAAUAUUACUCAGCAAUAAAAGAGAAUAAAAUCGUGGCAUUUGCAGGUAAAUGGAGGGCGUUGGAGAAGAUAAUGCUAAAUGAAGUUAGCAAUCCCCCCAAAAACAAAUGCAGAAUGUUUUCUUUGAUAUAAGGGAGCUGAUUCAUAGUGGGAUAGGAAGGGGCAUAUGGGAGGAAUAGAGGAACUCUAGAUAGGGCAGAGGGGUGGGAGGGGAAGGGAGGGGGCAUGGGGUAAUUAAUGAUAGUUGAAUGUGAUGAUCAUUAUUAUCCAAAGUACAUGUAUAAGGACACGAGAAAAAAAGCAAAGAAAUGAUAAAUGGUUAAGGAUAUAGAAAUUUGAAUUUACCUGGAUUUGAGCAUUAAAAAUUGAAUACAUGUAUCAGAACAUUGAACUCCAUAAAUAUGUAUAAUUAUCAUGUCAAUAAAAAUGAAAAAUAAACAAAAAUCAUACUGUCAAAAAAUUUUUAAAAAUUAGAAAAAAAAAACCAGUUGAGUUUCAUUCAUUUUCUGACCAUUUAUUGAACACCUGUGAAGGAUCAGGUGCUCUGCUCACUCCAUGAGACACAAAAAUAAUAAGAGGUAGAUGCUGCCAUUAGGGAAUUCUCAGUCUAAAAGGAAGGAAAUAUGAAGACUAGUCAUUGCAAUGGGACAAGUACAAUAAAAAAGGGAAGAAUGGCAUUAGGAAGGACUCAGUUUCCCUUGGACAAACCAAGUAAAUAUUCAUGAGUGAGAGCUGUUUGAAUGGAGUCAAGAGUGAGGAACUAGAUUUUGCCAGAUUAACCAUGGACAAAAGGGCAUAAUGACAAAUCUAGCAACACAUCAGCAGGAAGUUAUGAAAGGAUGUGGCAAAUUUGUAUCUGCCAAUCAUUUAUUAUUGAUGGAAUGAGGGUUCAAUAGAAUGGAGUACAGUUAGGGAUCUGAGGCCAGACAAGGGGUCAGAGGCCAAAUUAUAGUUAUUAUACAAUGAUAACUUUAUACUGAAGGUAAUAGAUAUCCAUUAAAAGAUAUAAGUCCACCAGGCUUGGUGGUACAUGCCUAUAAUCCCAGUGGCUCAGGAGACUGAGGCUGGAGAAUUGAAAGUUCAAAGCCAACUUCAGCAACUUAAUGAGGCCCUAAGCAACUCAGUGAGACUCUUGUCUCUAAAUAAAAUACAAAAAGGGCUGGGGAUAUGGCUUAGUGGUUAAGGGCCCCUGGGCUCAAUCUCCGAAACCAAAAAAAAAAAAAAAGUUAUAAGUCCAAGAAGUGAAUAGCUAGGUUGAUACUUUAUAAAUCCCUCCACAGUAUGAAGAAGGGAUUAGAGAGGUGGAGCAUCAAUGCAGGUUUUCCAAUAAUGUCAUCGUACUGAUUGCAAGUGAUGGCAGGAACCUGAAUUGGAGGAAUGGCAAUCGGAAGGGGAGAAGAGGCAUACUUGAGAAAUAUUUAAUAUUAGACAACUAUUAAUUAUGUAGAGUAAGGGUAAGGGGGAAGUAGUGGGAGAUAAAUACAAAUUUGGGGCUUUAGUUUCUGGUCAGGUGGUGGUGAAACAUGAAAGGAUAUAAAAGGGAAGAUCAGUUUGAACUUCCUGCUGUACAUCGGUCUCUAAUAAGUAUUUAGAUAUACAUAUUGAUCUUGGGCUGAAGUAGAGAAAGAACAUGAAAAUCAACACAAACCCAAAGGCUAAGAAGGCAACUAAAAUAUCGUGCACAACACUCUUCCUCUAGAAGUAGAUUUGCUUAAGAAAUCAAAUAGGAACUUGAGUGGUUUAAAAAGUGUUUUCACUUUAUUAAAAAAAGGAACAGAAGAAGAUUGGAAACAAAAUUGAGGAAGACAGGCUGAUUAACCUGGAGAAUGAGACAGAUUUCCUAAAACCAAAGAUUAAGAUCUUAGUUGGUACAAGGAAAAUUAAAUGUUACGCUGAAGGCCAGGAAAGACUUACAUGGGAAGGAAAGGAUACAACCACAUCUACCUGCUCCUUCUGGUUGAAUUAGGGAGCUUAGAAAAGGAACCAUGAAAGGGUCAGUCGUCAUUAAAUAAGAAAUUGGGACCUCCUAUAACAGAGGAAAAGAGACACAAUCUGGUAGGACAGAAAACUACUGAGGAAGCAUUUUUUUUAAAGCCACAAAUAGAGAAAGAAAGUCAAAUGGGUCAACUCAAGUACUGAGAGAGAUAUACAAAGUGAUUUUGGAAUAUCUGGAUGGUUAUAAAGGGGGAAGAUGAGGAAUAUCAGCCUAAAAUGCACAGAGCAUUAUUGCACAGCUUAGCAGAAAUAAUGAAUAUGAAGAAACCAUCAGCAAGCAUGAAUUAGAAAAAAAUAUUUUUAGGACAAGGGAAAUAUAACUGAUUGGUAGUGAUAAAAGCCACACAAGCAGACAGAAAGGAGCUGAAUUAACAUUAAGAUGGAGGGUUACCUCUGUCUUCAGACACUGAGGGAGUCACAAAAUAACCUAGUUUCCAAAGUGUGGUUCAUCCCUCAUGAGGCCCAUACUUUGGGCUAUUUUUGUAUUUCCAUGAAAUUUCUAUCGCCUUAUUUCUACAAUUAUCUUUACAACAAAUCUCCUCGGUUCUUGACGGAAUCUAAGAUAAAAUAUUAUCUCUCUGAGAAACAAAAUUGCCCAGCACAUCUCGCCAACAUUUUUAAAAAGUGAAUGGAUGGAGUCCUGUAGAUACACAACACCCAACCAGGAGCAGGGAGAUUACUACCCUGUUUGUUCUGGAUGUUGUCUCCUUUAAUUGGAGGCCUCGUCACACCAGUGCUUGUAUGAACCUCACAGACUUCUAUUCUUUCCUUAUUUAUUUGUUCACCAUAAAUUUAUUGGACACUUCUUGUGUGUCAGGCACCAUUCACAACAGAGGAAAUGCAAAAGUAAAGAGUUCCUGCCCUCAGGGAGCUCAUCAUCCAGUGGGGGAGACAGACACUGAGAACACCUGGGGAAACAUCUUUGGUUAGCAGGAGUGAAGAGAUGGUCCCAGAACCCUUCAUGCUCACUGAAGGUCCCCUCCUCGUCUGCUCUCUUUCAUUGGUGGGAAAAGAAAGGGGCCUCCAGAGCUCCCCUCCCAAGAGAUUCAGUCUUUCUACCACUAUCAAUAUUUUACCCCUGUUUAUUUCAGUCAGCAUAAAAAGCUUAGGCCUCUUAUGAGAUUCCAUAAACACAAACCCUCAAGGCUGUGACUUGAACUCACACCCCCAUCAUCAACUCCUCCAACCCAUUCACUGUGCCUUAAAAUACUUAAUAUCUUGUGUUCCAACUGAAAGUCACGUCUUCCCUGAGGACUCGUUUCCUCUCUGGAUGUCUCACAUGUUGUCUGUUUAUCUCAGGACCGCUCUAUCUCUUGGCCUGCAAGUAAGAAGUGUGGUCUCCUUGCUCCUCUUCUAAAUGUUUUUCUUCCUUUCCCUCUCACCUCUACACAAACAUAUAACCUAGGUUAUGUGUAAGGGGUUAUAUGAGCCACUAACAUAGGUUAUAUCACAUCCUUCACUGAAAUUGCCCAAGUAUUUCUCCCUCUCUCAGCUUUGAACCUCAUGUCACCAGACUAUCCAUUACUUUCCACAUGGGAGUUAUAUACUCAUCUGCCCCUCUCUCCCCACCCCUUUAAAUUUCUUCCAGAACUUUUGCCCCAUUCCACUCCUGCCAGUCUUGUCUAAUGACCUAAUUUCCCCUCUUCAGUGAAAAGAUAGAGGCAAUCAGAAAAAUACUUAAGUUCUUCCUGCCUAAUUUUAUCUGAACCACAUAAACUAUCUGUGAUCUUAUCUAAAUCUGCUUGAGUGUCUGCACAGGGUCUGUGCUCCAGAAAUUCUUCCAUUUCUCUCCUAUAGCAUUUAUUCUGGUGGUACUUCUCAACAGCUUAUAAAUAUGGUACUUAUUUUCUUAUCUAAAACCCUCUUGACCCUACUUCUCCCUCUAGCUGCUUCCCUAUUUCUCCAUUCUCCUUUACACCACAUGUCACAAUUCCUCUUUCUUAACCCUAUUACAGCCAAAGUUUUGCUCCCCAAAUUCCAUGACAACAGCCCUUUUCAAGGUCACCAAUGAUCCCAUACUGUGAAAUCCAGUGAUCCAUUCAUCCUCAUUUUAUUUAUCAUCCAUAUUUGGCACAGUUAAUUACUACCUAUUACUUAUAACAUUUUCUUUACUUGACUUAGAGGACACCACUCUGGGGUGUAGGUUUUCCUCCUUAUUCUCUUAUCCUUUUCUGUGAUUCUUUCUUAACUUCCUCAUCUCUAAAUGCUCAAGUCACCUUGAACCAAUUAUCUUCUCUCAUUCACACACUCUCUGGGUGAUCUUAUCUAAUCUUACAGCCAACGGUAUUUAUGCACAAAUGACUCACAAAUUCAAAUCUGUAGCUCAGACCUAGGACAAGCAACUCAUCCCAGUUUGACUAGAGUUUUGUUAGUUUUAGUACUGCCUGGGAAACUGGUUUCCUGGCAAACCAGGAGAAUUGGUCACCCUACCCUGACUUUGUUCCCAAACUCUAGCUUCACAGAUCCAACUAUCUGUUCUCUGAUUCACUUAGUAAGUAAUAGCCAAACCUCAGGCUGACCCCUGGGCUUUCCUCCUAAAUAUGUUUCUCUCAUAGACUUGCUUCUAUCAAUAAAUAGAUUCCAGUUUUUAAUUACUCACAGCAUGAACUUGAAGUAAUCCUUGAUUUUUUUCUUUCUCUUGAAAGACACACCCAAUCUGCCAAUAUUUUGUUGUCAUUCCUUCAAAAUUAUCCAGAAUCUGAAUACUUCUACUGUUACCAUCUUGAUCAAACGACCAUUAUGUCUUGCCUGGAUUAGUGCAGACAAGUUCCUAAUUGAUAUCUCUCAUUCUACUCUCCAACAUCUACAAUUUAUUCCCCAUACAGCUACCAUCUUAAUCCCAUAAAAAACAUAGAUUAUAUCACAUCCUUCACUGAACUUACACAAUUAUUUCCCAGUGACUGAAAGACAAAGAUCUUGACAUUGAUCUUCCUGGCCCUACAUUACCUGGUCCCUUUUUCUGUCCUCAUCUCCUAUAGUUUUCCUUCCCAUUUACUCUGUGCCAAUCAUGAUAGCCUUCUAGUUGCUAUUUAAACAUGGAGAAUACACUUCUAUCUCAAGGUUUUUGCCCUGACUCUUUCCUCUAUUUGGAUCAGUCUGCCUACAGGUAUUUGCAAUGCUCACCUUCUGAUCUAGUUCGUAUGUUACUUUUAUCAGUUCUUCCCUACUCAAAAUAGCAUAUGCUUGUGUUCAUACAUAGGCACUUCCUGUCUUCUUUCCCACAUGUAUUUUUCUCUGUAGCACUUGUGUAUUUGAAUAUUAUCUAUCUUCUCCAUUGCUUAUCCUUAGAAGGGAACUUUUACUAUUUUACUCACCACUGUAUCCCCAACAUUUAUAAAAGAGCCCAGCACAUAAUAUGCAGCAAAUAUUUGUUAUAUAAACCAUUAACUGGAUUAUGAAUUAAGAUGAGAGCUCCAAAACAAGUAAAUACUUCUAUAAGAACAUGAAACUCAGUUCUUAGUUUAGAGAGUCAGGGAGGGCUUCCAUCUGGAAACAAUAAUUUGUUUUGUCCUAUUUUGUUUUGUUUGCAGUGCUAAGGAUUAAACCCAGGACUCAUGCAUGCCAGGCAAACAUACUACCACUGAUCCAUAUCCCCAGCCCUAGAAAUGCUAAUUUAAUGGAGAUCUGAAGGAUGAGCAUGCAUUAAGCAAAUGGAGAGAAGGAAACAUUUCAGACAGAAGGGACAACAUAUGCCAAGGCUUUGUGAUGGGAAACUCCACAGUGUAUUCAAGGAAUUAAAAGAAAGUCCAUACAUUGGAAUGAAGAGAGGAAGAAACAAAUCAUUAAGGGACAAGGCUGGGAAGGGAAACAGGUAUGAUUUUGGUUUAUAUAUGAGAGGAAUAAAAGACAUUAAAGAAACGUAAUGUGGGAGUGGAUGUGUGCAUAACCCAGUCAUAUUUGUGUUUUGAAAGUAUCACUCAGGCUGUGUGUUGAGUGGGUUGGAGAAGGCCAGAGGAGAAAUAAGGAGAUCAGUUACACCACAGCAAUAGUACAGGUGAGAAAUAAGGAUUCCAUGGGCUGAUAAGUAAUGGUGAAGGUGAAAGAGUGACAAAUUCUGAAGUUCUAGAUGUUCAAAUGGAAUGAUAUAGGAAGAAUUAGAGAUGGUAGUACAAAGGUGAGAGAGAAGGAGAUCUCAAGAUGACUCCUAAAUUUACUAACAAAUAUAUAUCAGAAAUAUUCCCUGAUUGGGAGAUAUUGGAAGAAAAAUGAGCUUGGAAGGAAUGAUUUAAGAGUACAAUAAUGGACAUGUUGAGUCUGAGGAGACUUUUAGACAUCACCAACUCCAAGAAUAUGAGUUGCUUGAACUAUUAGACAUGCAGAACUAAAGCUAUGGGUGUUAGUUUGGGUUGGAGAUGUAUAUUUGGGAGUUAUUAUGAUGAAAAUUAUAAUGAAGGCUUGAGACUGAAGAGAUGGUCAGAUUUUGCAUGAGCUCCCAUUAAGCCAUAUCGUUGCAAUUCUGUACAAUUGAGUAGAUAAAUUUUAAGACAAAAGUACAUGAUUAUAAUUUUAUUCUUAUUCAAUUUCAUCAUAUUAGAGAGGAAAAGAAUGUCAUCUUUUUAAAGAUUUUCAUUUUCCUUUACUUUCCUUCUCCUAUUUCCAGUCUCAUAUCUUCUGAGAGAAACAGAUCAUCAUGUCACGAACCCCUCUAACUCUCCAAUAAAAACAACAUGAAAUCAACCAAGAUAGAGAAUGUGUCCUUAAUGCCCCACUUGGGACCUCUCUCCAGAGGAACAUUGAUAGAGGCAAGCCUAUUUCAGGUCAGUGAUAUCAACAGUUAAAGUACAUCCAGCUUCACUAUUCAACAGUCCAUCUUACCUCCUAAGGGCUGCAAAAAGAACUUGUAAAAUUGCUUAUGUCAGGAAAUUUGAGAAACAUGACAAGUAUACUACUUAAAUCCUGUGCUCAAAUCAUAGGUUUUUAAAAAAGUUUUUUUUACUGUUUUAAUUAGUUAACAUGACAUUUAUGCACUUUGAUGUAUCAUAUAUAGAUGGGAUAUGAUUUCUCAUUUCUUUGAGUGUACAUGUUAUAGAAUCAUAUUGGUCAUGCAGUCACAUAUAUACAUCAAAUCAUAGUUUUAUUACUUACCUGGCUUGUGACUUUGGGUAAGUUGCUUAAACUCUCUGGUUUAUAGUUUCCAUUUGUAUUUGUAAAAUAUCUUCCCAAUAAAUUUAUAGAAAGGAUUAAAUGAAAUGAUAUAUGAAAAAUAUCUGGC